UACAGAGGGGGCAAGCGUUGUUCGGAAUUACUGGGCGUAAAGGGCGCGUAGGCGGCCUACUAAGUCGAACGUGAAAUCCCCGGGCUUAACCCGGGAACUGCGUCCGAUACUGGUUGGGCUUGAAUCCGGGAGAGGGAUGUGGAAUUCCAGGUGUAGCGGUGAAAUGCGUAGAUAUCUGGAGGAACACCAGCGGCGAAGGCGGCAUCCUGGACUGGUCCUGACACUCAUGAGCGAAAGCGUGGGGAGCGAUCCGG
rnacentral:rRNA from 1 species